rnacentral:rRNA from 1 species
CCUACGGGAGGCAGCAGUAGGGAAUUUUCGGCAAUGGGGGAAACCCUGACGGAGCAACGCCGCGUGAACGAAGAAGUUUUUCGUAAUGUAAAGUUCUUUUAACAGGGAAGAAAGAGAAAUUUGACGGUACCUGAAGACUAAGCUCCGGCUAACUACGUGCCAGCAGCCUCGGUAAUACGUAGGGAGCGAGCGUUAUCCGGAAUUAUUGGGGGUAAAGGGUGCGUAGAUGGCAUAGUAAGUCUUUGGUAAAAAUGCUAGGUUAAAGCCAGUAGGGCAACAGAUACUACAAAUCUAGAGUAUGAGAGAGGUAAGUGGAACUAUAUGUGUAGCGGUAAAAUGCGUAGAUAUAAGUAAGAACACCAGUGGCGAAGGCGGCUUGCUGGGUCGAUACUGACAGUGAGGCACGAAAGCGUGGGGAGCAAACAGGAUUAGAUACCCGGGUAGUC